rnacentral:rRNA from 1 species
GCCAGCGGCGAUAGUAUGUUGAAUACACCAGUUCCCAAUGGAUCACUUAAGUUAAGCAACGUUGAGCGUGGUUAGUAUCCGGAUGGGUGACCAUUUGGACAAUAGCGUGCUGCUGGCU